rnacentral:rRNA from 1 species
GGAUAACAUACCGAAAGGUAUGCUAAUACGGGAUAAUAUAUUUGAGAGGCAUCUCUUAAAUAUCAAAGGUGAGCCAGUACAGGAUGGACCCGCGUCUGAUUAGCUAGUUGGUAAGGUAACGGCUUACCAAGGCGACGAUCAGUAGCCGACCUGAGAGGGUGAUCGGCCACAUUGGAACUGAGACACGGUCCAAACUCCUACGGGAGGCAGCAGUGGGGAAUAUUGCACAAUGGGCGAAAGCCUGAUGCAGCAACGCCGCGUGAGUGAUGAAGGCCUUCGGGUCGUAAAACUCUGUCCUCAAGGAAGAUAAUGACGGUACUUGAGGAGGAAGCCCCGGCUAACUACGUGCCAGCAGCCGCGGUAAUACGUAGGGGGCUAGCGUUAUCCGGAUUUACUGGGCGUAAAGGGUGCGUAGGCGGUCUUUCAAGUCAGGAGUGAAAGGCUACGGCUCAACCGUAGUAAGCUCUUGAAACUGGGAGACUUGAGUGCAGGAGAGGAGAGUGGAAUUCCUAGUGUAGCGGUGAAAUGCGUAGAUAUUAGGAGGAACACCAGUUGCGAAGGCGGCUCUCUGGACUGUAACUGACGCUGAGGCACGAAAGCGUGGGAAGCAAACAGGAUUAGAUACCCUGGUAGUCCACGCUGUAAACGAUGAGUACUAGGUGUCGGGGGUUACCCCCCUCGGUGCCGCAG